rnacentral:rRNA from 1 species
UACGAGGGGUGCAAGCGUUAAUCGGAAUUACUGGGCGUAAAGCGCGCGUAGGUGGUUCAGCAAGUUGGAUGUGAAAGCCCUGGGCUCAACCUGGGAACUGCAUCCAAAACUACUGAGCUAGAGUACGGUAGAGGGUAGUGGAAUUUCCUGUGUAGCGGUGAAAUGCGUAGAGAUGUGGAGGAAUACCGAUGGCGAAGGCAGCCCCUCGGU